AUGGAAGAGUUUACAGAAUUUGCAGAAUUGGACCACAUGCAACAGUAUGUGACAGAUGUAAGGCAACUUCAAAAACGUAUUCAGGAAUCUGAGGAAGCAGUUCAGUUUAUUAAUAAAGAAGAGGAACUUUUCAAAUGGGAAUUGACAAAAUAUCCUGAACUGGAUAAAUUAAAAGUGAACAUUGAGCCCUAUCAGAAGUUUUUCAAUCUUGUUCUCAAGUGGCAACGGACAGAAAAACGGUGGAUGGAUGGAGGGUUUUUGGACCUUAAUGGGGAAAGUAUGGAAGCUGAUGUGGAUGAAUUUUUCCGAGAAAUUUUUAAGACCCUGAAAUUUUUCCAAAUGAAGCAAAAGAGGGAAUUACAAGAAAAAAGAAAGGCAGCAAAAAGGCGAUCUCUGGGAGAAGAGAGACUUGAAGAAGAACCAAAAGAGAAUCCUACUAUUACUAUGUGCUCCACAGUAAUGGAGCAGAUAAAAGUUUUUAAGGAUUAUAUCCCUACUGUCUCCAUCUUAUGUAAUCCAGGAAUGAGAACUCGUCACUGGAAGCAGAUAUCAGAAAUUGUAGGCUAUGACUUGACUCCAGAUUCUGGAACUACACUGAGAAAAAUUUUAAAAUUAAACCUUACACCAUACUUGGAAAAAUUUGAAGUGAUAAGUGCAGGUGCAAGCAAGGAAUUUUCAUUAGAGAAAGCCCUGCAUACAAUGAUGGGAACCUGGGAUGAUAUUGCUUUUCAUAUAAGUCCAUAUCGUGAUACUGGAGUCUCUAUUCUUUCUUCAGUAGAUGAGAUUCAGACUCUCCUUGAUGAUCAAAUUAUAAAAACUCAGACAAUGAGAGGCUCACCUUUCAUCAAACCAUUUGAAAAAGAGAUCAAGGCCUGGGAAGACCGCUUGAUUCGAAUACAAGAAACGAUUGAUGAAUGGUUAAAAGUACAAGCUCACUGGCUGUACCUGGAGCCCAUAUUUUGUUCUGAGGACAUCAUGCAACAGAUGCCAGAAGAAGGGCGUCAGUUUCAGACAGUAGACAGACAUUGGAGAGAUAUCAUGAAGUUCUGUGCAAAAGAUCCAAAGGUUCUUGCUGCUGCUUCUUUAGCAGGUUUAUUGGAAAAAUUGCAGAACUGCAGCGAACUUUUGGAGAAAAUUAUGAAAGGGCUUAAUGCAUAUCUUGAAAAAAAACGACUUUUCUUCCCUCGUUUUUUCUUCUUAUCUAAUGAUGAAAUGUUAGAGAUUUUGUCAGAGACCAAAGACCCACUUAGAGUUCAGCCUCAUUUAAAAAAAUGCUUCGAGGGCAUUGCUAAGUUGGAAUUCCUUCCUAAUUUGGAUAUUAAGGCCAUGUAUAGCUCUGAAGGCGAGCGAGUGCAGCUGAUUGCCCUUAUUUCCACGUCUGCAGCACGAGGUGCUGUGGAAAAGUGGCUCAUUCAAGUGGAAGAUUUAAUGCUACGGAGUAUUCAUGAUGUGAUCGCGGCAGCCAGGCUGGCUUAUCCAGAAUCCGCAAGAAAAGACUGGGUUCGAGAGUGGCCUGGCCAAGUUGUACUUUGUGUUUCUCAAAUGUUCUGGACUUCUGAGACACAGGAAGUUAUAAGUGGUGGGACAGAGUACUACAAGGAACUUCAGAAUCAACUAAAUGAUAUUGUAGAGCUGGUAAGGGGAAAACUGUCUAAGCAGACCAGGAUUACUCUGGGAGCUUUGGUUACAAUUGAUGUCCAUGCCAGAGAUGUGGUCAUGGACAUGAUUGAUAUGGGUGUGUCCCAUGAUACAGAUUUCCAGUGGCUUGCUCAGCUUCGAUAUUAUUGGGAAUUUGAAAAUGCUCGAGUUCGUAUCAUUAAUUGCAAUGUAAAAUAUGCUUAUGAAUAUCUUGGUAAUUCACCUCGACUUGUCAUUACACCUCUAACUGACAGGUGUUACAGAACAUUGAUAGGUGCCUUCUAUUUGAACCUCGGAGGAGCUCCAGAGGGGCCAGCAGGCACAGGAAAAACUGAAACCACGAAGGACUUGGCUAAAGCUCUUGCUGUCCAAUGUGUGGUGUUCAACUGUUCAGAUGGGCUAGAUUAUCUAGCAAUGGGAAAUUUUUUUUUUCAUUUUUUUUUUUUACUGGCUUCUUCUGGUGCUUGGGCUUGCUUUGAUGAAUUUAAUCGGAUUGAUUUUUUUUUUUUAUCAGUGGUAGCUCAACAGAUCCUUUGCAUUCAGAGAGCCAUUCAGCAGAAGCUGGAAGAGUUUGUUUUUGAAGGGACAGAACUUAAGCUCAAUCCAAACUGCUUUGUAGUUUUUUUUUUGAACCCUGGCUAUGCGGGACGUUCUGAAUUACCAGACAAUCUUAAGGUUCUUUUUAGAACUGUGGCUAUUUUUUUUUUUAACUAUGCCCUCAUAGCAGAAAUCUCCCUCUACUCCUAUGGAUUUUUGAAUGCGAAACCUCUGUCUGUGAAAAUAGUGAUGACCUACAGGCUUUGCUCAGAACAGCUCUCGUCACAGUUUCAUUAUGACUAUGGAAUGCGAGCAGUAAAAGCAGUUUUAGUGGCUGCUGGAAACCUAAAACUAAAAUUUCCAAAUGAAAAUGAAGAUAUACUGCUUCUUCGGUCAAUUAAAGAUGUAAAUGAACCGAAGUUUCUGUCACAUGAUAUACCCUUAUUUAAUGGAAUAACUAGUGACCUAUUUCCUGGUAUUAAACUUCCUGAAGCUGACUAUCUUUUUUUUUUACCUUUACUACAGUGUGAAGGAUUGUUUGGCAUGUCCUUCCACAUCCUAACCAAGGUUCUACAUAUACUGGCUGAUACUCUAACUCUUAUGAAUGAACGUGGCUACAGAGAGGAAGAAAAGGUCAUUUAUAGGACUGUAAACCCCAAAUCCAUUACUAUGGGCCAAUUUUUUUUUUAAUUUGAUCCAGUGUCUCACGAGUGGACCGAUGGUAUUGUGGCCAAUAUUUUUUUUUUAUUUGCCUUAUCAGAAACACCAGACCGGAAAUGGGUUGUAUUCGAUGGUCCUUUUUUUUUUUUGUGGAUAGAGAGCAUGAACACAGUAUUGGAUGACAAUAAAAAGCUUUGCCUUAUGAGUGGAGAAAUCAUUCAGUUUUUUUUUUAGAUGAGCCUCAUCUUUGAAGCAAUGGACCUUUCCCAGGCCUCGCCGGCCACCGUAAGCCGCUGUGGCAUGAUUUAUUUGGAUUUUUUUUUUUUAGGAUGGGAACCACUUGUGUCCUCGUGGUUGAAUUCCCUGAAAGGACCUUUUUUUUUUUCAGAUAAUCAGGCUCUUCUGAAAGGACUUUUUGGCUGGUUAAUAAAACCCACUUUAAAGCUUCGUAAGAAAAACUGCAAGGAACUGAUUCCUACAAGUGAUAGCAAUGUGGUUGUAUCUCUCACACGCCUCUUUGAGGUACUUUUUUUUUUUGUGCUGGAAAAUGAUCCUACAAGCAAGCAUAUUCGUGUUUGGAUUAUGCACAUGGCCAUGACGCCGAUCCCAGGCAGGAUCUCGAACCACAUCCUGCGUGGUUGCCAGAGUCAAACCCCUGCCUUCCCGGCCCGAGACGAAAACAACCCAGUGCCUGAAUCUGUGGGUAAAUGGGAAUGCCAGUUUGAUGAAAAAGGUCUGGUCUAUGACUACAUGUAUGAGUUGAAAAACCGAGGUCGCUGGCUCCAUUGGAAUGAUUUUUUUUUUAGUACUAAUUUGGGAGAAAAACGUGUCCGGAUUCAAGAUAUUAUAGUACCUUUUUUUUUUUCAAUUAGAUAUACAUUUCUAAUGGAUUUGAGUAUUACCUAUGCAAAGCCAUUGCUUUUCGUGGGUCCGACGGGUACAGGAUUUUUUUUUUAUGUGAAGGAUAAACUAAUGAAUCACUUGGAAAAGGACCAGUAUUUCCCUUUUUUUUUUUUUUUCUCUGCACGGACCAGUGCCAACCAGGUUCAGAAUGUUAUCAUGGCUAGAUUGGACAAAAGACGCAAAGGAUUUUUUUUUUCACCUAUGGGAAAGAAGUGUGUAAUUUUUAUAGAUGACAUGAAUAUGCCUGUUUUUUUUUUAUACGGAGCUCAACCUCCUAUUGAAUUACUACGACAAUUUUUUGACUGUGGUUUUUGGUAUGACCUUAAGGACACAAGUAAAAUCACACUGGUUGACAUCCUUUUUUUUUUUGCCAUGGGCCCUCCAGGUGGUGGAAGAAAUCCAGUCACUCCCCGGUUUAUUUUUUUUUUUAACAUCUGCUCUAUUAAUACUUUCAGUGAUGAAACUAUGGUCCGAAUCUUCUCAUCAAUUGUAGCAUUCUACCUGAGGACUCGGGAAUUUCUUCCAGAGUACUUUUCAAUUGGGAACCAGAUUGUCAGUGGGACAAUGGAGAUAUACAAACGAUCCAUGGAAAAUCUUUUGCCCACUCCCAUGAAAUCUCAUUACACUUUCAACUUGCGGGAUUUUUCACGUGUCAUCCAGGGCUGCUUACUCAUUGAGAUUUUUUUUUUGGAGAGCAAGCACACCAUGAUCCGCCUGUUCGUACAUGAGGUUCUCCGUGUUUUUUUUUUUCGCCUCAUUAAUGAUAAUGAUCGAUACUGGCUGUUCAAUUUAAUCAAAGCUGUGAUAAGGGACCAUUUUAAAGAAUCUUUUGAUGGUAUUUAUUUUGAGAAGAUUUGUCUUCAGAGGAAUUAUAUAACUGAAGAGUUUUUUUUUUAUCUCAUGUUUGGCGAUUAUAUGAAUCCCGACCUUGAAGGAGAUGACAGAGUUUUUUUUUUAAUUCCAAAUAUUCAUCAUUUUAGUGACAUUGUGGACCAAUGCUUAGAUGAUUUUUUUUUUACUCACAAAACAAGAAUGAAUCUUGUCAUUUUUAGGUAUUUUUUUUUUCAUUUAUCACGUAUAUGUCGAAUUCUAAAGCAGUCUGGUGGAAAUGCUUUGCUUGUUGGGCUUGGAGGCAGUGGUCGUCAAUCUUUAACUCGUCUGGCUACAUCCAUGGCAAAAAUGCAGAUUUUCCAACCAGAAAUUUCUAAAAGCUAUGGUAUGAAUGAGUGGAGAGAGGAUCUGAAGGUUCUAUUAAGGAAUGUGGGCAUGAGGGGCCAGAAGACAGUCUUUCUAAUCACAGACACUCAGAUUAAAGAGGAAGCCUUUCUAGAAGAUAUUGACAGUGUGCUCAAUACUGGAGAAGUACCUAACAUUUUUGCUGCUGAUGAAAAACAGGAAGUGAUGGAGGGUGUUCGUCCUGUAGCUCAGGCUGGCAAUAAACACAGUGAACUCAGUCCCUUGGCCUUGUUUGCUUUCUUUGUGAAUCGCUGCAAAGAUAAUCUUCAUGUUGUAGUGGCCUUUAGCCCCAUUGGAGAUGCCUUUAGAAAUCGCUUGAGACAGUUCCCAUCCCUCAUCAAUUGCUGUACCAUUGACUGGUUCCAGCCAUGGCCUGAAGAUGCCCUUGAACUUGUAGCUGUGAAAUUCUUAGAAACACUGGAGCUUACUGAGGUUGAAAGGCGAGAGAUAGUUCCAAUCUGCAAACACUUUCACACUACCGUUAUGGAUCUAUCAGAGAGGUUCUUGCAGGAGCUAGGACGACAUAACUAUGUUACGGCUACUUCUUAUCUUGAACUUAUUGCCUCAUUUCGACAGCUUUUGACUAAGAGGCGGCAAGCUAUCAUGGAAGCAAAACAACGAUACGUGAAUGGGCUUGACAAAUUAGCUUUUGCUGAGUCUCAGGUUGGAGAAAUGAAAAUGGAGCUUGUCCAAUUACAGCCCAAAUUGGAGGAAGCUAAAAUUGAAAAUGCACAUAUGAUGCAGAUUAUUGAGAUAGAGUCCGCACAAGUGGAAGCAAAAAGAAAGUUCGUGAAAUUAGAUGAAGAGAUAGCCAGUGGCAAGGCUGAAGAAGCCCAAGCUCUGAAAAACGAGUGUGAGAGUGACCUAGCCGAGGCAAUUCCAGCCUUGGAAGCAGCGCUGUCUGCCCUGGAUACACUCAAGCCAGCUGACAUUACAAUUGUGAAAUCAAUGAAGAAUCCUCCAUCUGGUGUUAAAUUAGUUAUGGCUGCUAUUUGUGUCAUGAAAGAUAUAAAGCCAGAAAAAAUUUCAGAUCCUUCAGGAACUGGAGGCAAGAUACUAGAUUACUGGGGACCUAGCAAAAAGCUUCUGGGAGAUAUGAAUUUCUUAAGAGAAUUGAGAGAAUAUGACAAGGACAACAUUCCAGUGACUGUUAUGCAGAAGAUACGUGGUGAAUACCUAACAAACCCUGAGUUCGACGCUUCUAAGAUUGCUAAAGCUUCCUCUGCCGCUGAGGGUCUGUGCAAGUGGAUCAUGGCUAUGGAAGUGUAUGACAGAGUUGCAAAGGUAGUGGCUCCUAAGAAAGCCCGCUUAACAGAAGCUCAGAAGUCCUUAGCUGAGAUAAUGGAGCUUUUGAAUCAGAAGAGAGCAGAAUUGGCAGAAGUAGAACAUCAUUUGGAAAAUUUACAAAGAACAUUUAUUGAGAAAACUGAGGAAAAGGCUCGUUUAGAAGACCAGGUAGAACUCUGUGCUAAGAAGCUUGAAAGAGCCUCAAAACUAAUUGGAGGACUAGGUGGAGAAAAAUCAAGAUGGUCUCAGGCUGCAGAUGACCUUCAGAUAAUUUAUGAAAAUUUGACUGGUGAUGUCUUAGUCUCAGCAGGAGUAAUAGCCUAUCUUGGUGCUUUCACUUCUGGCUUUCGGCAAAAAUGUACAGAAAAUUGGAGCGUGUUGUGCAAGGAGAAAAAAAUUCCAUGUUCAGAAGAGUUCUCAUUGAGUAAGACUCUGGGUGAUCCAGUAAAAAUUAGAGCUUGGAAUAUUGCUGGAUUGCCAACAGAUACUUUCUCCAUAGAUAAUGGAGUGAUUGUUAAUAACUCCAGGCGCUGGCCUUUAAUGAUUGACCCACAGGGUCAAGCCAAUAAGUGGAUCAAAAACUCUGAAAGAGAAAAUCAGCUUAGUGUUAUUAAGCUAUCAGAUUCAGACUAUAUGAGAACAUUGGAAAACUGUAUUCAGUUCGGAACUCCACUUCUAUUAGAAAACGUUGGUGAAGAACUGGACCCAUCUUUGGAGCCUUUACUACUUAGACAAACUUUUAAGCAAGGUGGCAUUGAUUGCAUCAGACUUGGUGAGGUCAUUAUUGAGUAUUCCUUUGAUUUCAAGUUUUAUAUCACCACAAAACUGAGAAAUCCACACUAUAUGCCAGAACUGGCUACAAAGGUGUCUUUACUCAAUUUCAUGAUAACUCCAGAAGGUCUUGAAGAUCAGUUACUAGGUAUUGUUGUUGCAAAGGAGAGACCAGAAUUAGAAGAGGAACGAAAUGCCCUUAUUCUUCAGUCUGCAGCUAAUAAGAAACAGCUAAAAGAUAUAGAGAAAAAAAUUUUAGAAACACUAUCAUCUUCAGAAGGGAACAUUUUAGAAGAUGAAAGUGCAAUUAAAGUCUUAGACUCCGCUAAAAUGAUGUCCAAUGAGAUAACAAAGAAACAGCAGAUUGCAGAAAAAACGGAACUCAAAAUAGCAGAGUCUCGAGAAGGCUACAGAGCCAUUGCUAAACAUUCAUCAGUAUUGUUCUUCAGCAUUGCAGACCUGGCUAACAUUGAUCCCAUGUACCAGUACUCUCUCACCUGGUUUGUCAACCUUUACAUCAACUCUAUUCAUGACAGUAACAAAUCCAAAAUUUUGGAAAAGCGCCUACGAUAUUUAAAUGACCACUUCACAUACAACUUAUAUUGUAAUAUAUGCCGAUCACUGUUUGAGAAGGACAAGCUGCUGUUUUCCUUUUUGUUAUGUGCCAAUCUUCUUCUGGCAAAGAAAGAGAUUGAAUACCAGGAACUGAUGUUUCUUUUAACUGGAGGAGUAAGUCUUAAGAGUGCUGAGAAAAAUCCUGAUCCGACUUGGCUACAGGAUAAAAGCUGGGAGGAAAUUUGCCGUGCAAGUGAAUUUCCUGCCUUCAAAGAACUCAGGAAGCAUUUUUGUGAACAUAUAACUGAAUGGCGGGAAAUUUAUGACAGUAAAGAGCCACACAAUGCUAAAUUUCCAGUACCAAUGGAUGAAAAACUAAAUGAACUACAGAAAAUAAUAAUUCUUCGGUGCCUAAGACCUGAUAAGAUAACUCCAGCUAUAACAAAUUAUGUAACUGACAAACUAGGGAAAAAGUUUGUGGAGCCUCCACCAUUUGAUUUGACAAAGAGUUACUUGGACUCAAACUGUACCAUUCCUUUAAUUUUUGUGCUAUCUCCGGGAGCGGAUCCCAUGGCUAGCCUGCUGAAAUUUGCAAAUGAUAAAGCUAUGUCUGGAAAUAAAUUUCAAGCAAUUUCCCUGGGACAAGGACAAGGACCAAUUGCAACAAAAAUGAUUAAAGCAGCAAUAGAAGAAGGAACUUGGGUGUGCCUACAGAAUUGUCACCUUGCCGUCUCCUGGAUGCCCACGUUGGAAAAAAUAUGUGAAGAUUUUACCCCUGAAGUCUGUAACUCGUCCUUUAGGCUUUGGCUCACAAGUUAUCCAUCUCCGAAAUUCCCGGUAACCAUCCUACAGAACGGAGUGAAAAUGACUAAUGAGCCUCCCACGGGUCUUCGGCUAAAUCUCCUUCAAUCUUACCUCACUGAUCCAAUUUCUGAUUCUCAGUUUUUCGGUGGAUGCCAGGAAAAGGAACUGACAUGGGAGAAGUUGCUGUUUGGAGUUUGUUUUUUUCAUGCCCUUGUACAAGAGAGAAAGAAAUUUGGUCCUCUUGGUUGGAAUAUUCCAUAUGGAUUUAAUGAAUCAGACUUACGCAUCAGUAUUCGACAACUACAGUUAUUUAUAAAUGAAUAUAAUACAGUUCCAUUUGAAGCUAUCUCCUAUCUGACCGGGGAAUGUAACUAUGGUGGAAGGGUGACAGACGAUUGGGACAGACGCCUCCUCUUAACCACGCUGGCUGACUUUUAUAACCCACAAAUCAUCGAAAACCCUCAUUACAAGUUUUCUCCCAGUGGAAACUAUUUUGCGCCUCCCAAAGGCACCUACGAUGAGUACAUUGAAUUCAUUAAGAAUCUCCCAUUUACUCAACACCCUGAGAUAUUUGGAUUACAUGAAAAUGUCGAUAUUUCCAAAGAUCUGCAACAAACAAAAGUCCUCUUUGAGUCCUUGCUCCUCACCCAGGGAGGCUCCAAACAGACAGGAUCCUCAGGAAGUGCUGACCAGAUUCUAUUAGAAAUCACCAAAGAUAUUCUCAAGAAGCUACCAAAUGAUUUUGACAUUGAAUUAGCACUACUGAAGUUUCCUGUGAGCUAUGAAGAGAGCAUGAAUACCGUGUUAGUACAAGAAAUGGAAAGAUUUAACAAUUUAAUUAAAACUAUACGCAACACUCUACAGGACCUUGAAAAAGCUAUUAAGGGCGUGGUUGUAAUGGAUUCUGCACUGGAGGCAUUCUCUGGCAGUCUGCUUGUUGGAAAGGUUCCAGAAAUAUGGGCUGCACGAUCAUACCCAAGUCUUAAACCCCUAGCAAGUUAUAUCACAGAUUUUCUAGCCCGGUUGAACUUUUUACAGGACUGGCAUAAUUCAGGAAAACCUAAUGUGUUCUGGCUCUCAGGAUUCUUUUUCACCCAAGCCUUCCUAACUGGAGCUAUGCAGAAUUAUGCUAGAAAAUACACCAUCCCUAUUGAUUUACUAGGAUAUGAAUUUGAGGUUAUUCCUUCGGAUACAUCCGAGAUGGCCCCAGAAGACGGCGUGUACAUCCACGGAUUGUAUCUUGAUGGGGCGCGCUGGGACAGAACAAGUGGAUUGCUUGCCGAACAACACCCCAAACUUCUAUUUGACCUGAUGCCCAUCAUAUGGAUAAAACCAACCAAAAAGUCUCAGAUUGUGAAGUCGAAUGCCUACGUCUGUCCCCUCUACAAGACAAGUGAACGUAAAGGAACUCUUUCCACUACAGGACAUUCCACUAACUUUGUUAUUGCAAUGUUGUUAAAGACGGACCAACCCACUCAACACUGGAUCAAGCGUGGGGUUGCCUUGCUUUGUCAGUUGGAUAACUAAAUUGGACAAACUUAAGAAAACAUCUGAAAG